rnacentral:rRNA from 1 species
GUGGAUUAGAUACCCUGGUAGUCCACGCAGUAAACGAUGCCGACUAGGCGUGGGGGGACUUGACCCCUUCCGUGCCGAAGCUAACGCAUGAAGUCGGCCGCCUGGGGAGUACGGCCGCAAGGCUAAAACUCAAAGGAAUUGACGGGGGCCCGCACAAGCGGCGGAGCGUGUUCUUUAAUUCGUCGCAACGCGAAGAACCUUACCAGGGUUUGACAUUUCCCUGCAGGCCCGGGAAACCGGGAGGCCUACGAGGGUGGGAAACAGGUGCUGCAUGGCCGUCGCCAACU